UAAACAGAGAAUGAGUGCUAGUGUUAGGGGGUUUCCGCCCCUUAGUGCUGCAGCUAACGCAUUAAGCACUCCGCCUGGGGAGUACGACCGCAAGGUUGAAACUCAAAGGAAUUGACGGGGACCCGCACAAGCGGUGGAGCAUGUGGUUUAAUUCGAAGCAACGCGAAGAACCUUACCAAAUCUUGACAUCCUUUGACAACUCUAGAGAUAGAGCUUUCCCCUUCGGGGGACAAAGUGACAGGUGGUGCAUGGUUGUCGUCAGCUCGUGUCGUGAGAUGUUGGGUUAAGUCCCGCAACGAGCGCAACCCUUAAGCUUAGUUGCCAUCAUUAAGUUGGGCACUCUAAGUUGACUGCCGGUGACAAACCGGAGGAAGGUGGGGAUGACGUCAAAUCAUCAUGCCCCUUAUGAUUUGGGCUACACACGUGCUACAAUGGACAAUACAAAGGGCAGCGAAACCGCGAGGUCAAGCAAAUCCCAUAAAGUUGUUCUCAGUUCGGAUUGUAGUCUGCAACUCGACUACAUGAAGCUGGAAUCGCUAGUAAUCGUAGAUCAGCAUGCUACGGUGAAUACGUUCCCGGGUCUUGUACACACCGCCCGUCACACCACGAGAGUUUGUAACACCCGAAGCCGGUGGAGUAACCUUUUAGGAGCUAGCCGUCGAAGGUGGGACAAAUGAUUGGGGUGAAGUCGACGGGGGGCCCCCCCCAAAAAAAAUUUUUUGGGGCUCCAAAAUUUUUUGCCUAAUGGUGGGAACCCCUGGGGGCCCCAAAACGGCCCCCCCCCCCCCCGGGGGGGUCCCCCCCCAUUCUUCGCCCCCCUUUUCCCCCGGCCACCCGGGGGGAUUUCGCCCCUCUCCUCUCCUCGGGCCCCCCAGUUUUUUGCUGUGUUUUCUCAGGGGCGCCCCCCCCCCGGGCGGUCCCCCGGGGCGCGUUUCCUAACACCGAACUUUUAAAAAACACCCCCCCCCCAGCGCGGGGUUUUUUCCCCCCCCGCAAAUAUUUUCCGCGGAAAAAAAGCGCUUGGGGCGCCCACUCACUUUUAUUUACCCCGCGGGGGGGGCGGCGGGGGCCCCUCUUAAAUUUCCUCCCCCGGGGGGGCUUUUUCGCUUAAAUUUUGCGACCGCCCCGCGGCCCAAAAAAAGGGGGGGCUCCCCAACGUUGUCUCUUCCUCCACCCCCCUGUUUUUUCUUCCCUCCCCCCCCCCCCAACAUAAACGACCGCCAAUGGGUUUUUUUUUUCCCUC
rnacentral:rRNA from 1 species